AAGUCAAGAGCGUUCACUUAGGGUGAGUAAGAAAUAAGUUGGGGAGAAUGAAAAUGAGAAUCGGUAAGUGCCACAACUCUUGAAAAACCGAGCAAGCAUAAAAAAAAUAUAUAAAAUAUAGAAAAGAGAAACAUCUGUUUUGUAAAUAUGAUGUGAAAGAAAAAAAAAUAGAGAAAAUGAAAAUGAAUGCUUGCUUGGAAGAAAAAUAGUAAAAAACAAAAGUUGAGUUGUGAAAUAAGAGUUGUGAAGGUUUCAAAUGAGAAACAAAUGGAACGAAGUUGAGAUGUAUGAAUAAUGUACAAUGAAUGUCUUUUGCAUCGGCAAUUUCGUUUUCAAUGGCCUUAGAAAUGACCCUUGUUUGUUAACCUAACCAAGCUUCAACCGAAAAGUCCUUAGUGAUC
rnacentral:lncRNA from 1 species